rnacentral:rRNA from 1 species
AGAGCUGAUUAUGGCCUGGAUUUAUCGCCAGUGGAUGUUUGAUACAUGCCGCAAGUCGAACGGCAGCACGGACUUCGGUCUGGUGGCGAGUGGACAACGGUGCAGGAAUGUAUCGGAACGUGCCUAGUAGUGGGGGACAACUACGCGAAAGCGUAGCUAAUACCGCAUAACGCCCUUCGGGGAAAGCGGGGACCUUCGGGCCUCGCACUAAUAGAGCGGCCGAUAUCGGAUUAGCUAGUUGGUGGGGUAACGGCUCACCAAGGCGGUGACGACCGCAGCUGGUUUGAGAGGACGACCAGCCACACUGGGACUGAGACACGCCCAGAUCUACGGGAGGCAGCAGGGGGAAUUUUGGGAUAAUGGGGGAAACCCUGAUCCAGCCAUCCCGCGUGUGCGAUGAAGGCCUUCGGGUUGUAAAGCACUUCUUAGCAGGAAGAAACGGCACGGAUAAUACCCCGUGCAAUCGACGGUACCGGUGAGAAUAAGCACCGGCUAACCACGUGCCAGCAGCCGCGGUAAUGUAGGGUAAGCGUUAAUCGGAAUUACUGGGCGUAAAGCGUGCGCAGGCGGUUCUGGAAAGAAAGAUGUGAAGUCCCAGAGCUUAACUUUGAACUGCAUUUUUAACUACCGAGCUACGUGUCAGAGGGAGGUGGAAUUCCGCGUGUAGCAGAAUGCGUAGAUAUGCGGAGAACGACUCAAUACGGCGAAGGCAGCCUCUCCUGGGAUAACACUGACGCUCAUGCACGAAAGCGCGGGGAGCAACAGGAUUGACACCCGGUAGUCCACGCCCUAAACGAUGUCAAAUCAGCUGUUGGCCUUCGGCUUCGGUAGCGCAGCUAACGCGUGAAGCUGGACUGCCUGGGGAGUACGGUCGCAAGACGAACCCAAAGGAAUUGACGGGGACCGGCACGCUGCUGGUGGAUGAUGUGAUUAAUCUGAUGCAACGCGUGAAAAACCUUACCUACCCUUGACAUGUCUGGAAUCCUGAAGAGAUUUGGGAGUGCUCAUAAGAGAACCGGAACACAGGUGCUGCAUGGCUGUCGUCAGCUCGUGUCGUGAGAUGUUGGGUUAAGUCCCGCAACGAGCGCAACCCUUGUCAUUAGUUGUUACAGGUACACUGACGAGACUGCCGGUGACAAACCGAGGUGAAGGUGGGGAUGACGUCAAGUCCUCAUGGCCCUAUGGUACUUCACACGUCAUACAAUGGUCGGGACAGAGGGUCGCCAACCCCGCGAGGGGGAGCUAAUCCUGGAAACCCGGAUCGUAGUCCGGAUCGCAGUCUGCAACUCGACUGCGUGAAGUCGGAAUCGCUAGUAAUCGCGGAUCAGCAUGUCGCGGUGAAUACGUUCCCGGGUCUUGUACACACUGCCCGUCACACCAUGGGAGGGCUUUACCAGAAGCAGUUAGCCUAACUGCAAGGGAGGGCGAUUACCACGGUAGGAUUCAUGACUGGGGUGAAGUCGUAACAAGGUAG